UCCCUGGUGGUCCAGUGGUUAGGACCCCACACUUCCACUGCUUGGGGACCCAGGUUCGAUCCCUGGUCAGGGAC